CUACGGGGUGCUGCAGUGAGGAAUAUUGCACAAUGGGGGGAACCCUGAUGCAGCAACGCCGCGUGGAGGAUGACGCAUUUCGGUGUGUAAACUCCUUUUAUAUGUCAAGAAAAUGACGGUAGCAUAUGAAUAAGCACCGGCUAACUCCGUGCCAGCAGCCGCGGUAAUACGGAGGGUGACAAGCGUUACUCGGAAUCACUGGGCGUAAAGGACGCGUAGGCGGGUUGGAAAGUCAGGUGUGAAAUCCUACAGCUUAACUGUAGAACUGCACUUGAAACUUCUAAUCUAGAGUAUGGGAGGGGGAGAUGGAAUUAGUGGCGUAGGGGUAAAAUCCGUAGAUAUCACUAGGAAUACCUAAAGCGAAGGCGAUCUCCUGGAACAUUACUGACGCUAAGGCGUGAAAGCGUGGGGAGCAAACAGGAUUAGAUACCCGUGUAGUC
rnacentral:rRNA from 1 species